ACGGAAGGCAGCAGUGGGGAAUAUUGGGCAAUGGGGGCAACCCUGACCCAGCAACGCCGCGUGAAGGAAGAAGGCUUUCGGGUUGUAAACUUCUUUUACCAGGGACGAAGAAAGUGACGGUACCUGGAGAAAAAGCUACGGCUAACUACGUGCCAGCAGCCGCGGUAAUACGUAGGUAGCAAGCGUUGUCCGGAUUUACUGGGUGUAAAGGGCGUGUAGGCGGAGAUGCAAGUCAGGAGUGAAAUCUAUGGGCUUAACCCAUAAACUGCUUUUGAAACUGCAUCCCUUGAGUAUCGGAGAGGCAGGCGGAAUUCCUAGUGUAGCGGUGAAAUGCGUAGAUAUUAGGAAGAACACCGGUGGCGAAGGCGGCUUACUGGACUGAGACUGACGCUGAGGCUCGAAAGCGUGGGGAGCAAACAGGAUUAGAUACCCUGGUA
rnacentral:rRNA from 1 species